UNGGGUCAAUGGCCUAACGGCUGAACCAGCAACUUGAAUGAAUGUAUAGCGAAAGCUAAUUGCGUAACUAAAAAAUAGUAAGCGUAAUAUUGCCUCGAUCAAAUAAAGUUCUAGGCGGAUUAUGAUAAUGACAUGAUCUGUUUAUCUGUCUUGACAAAAUUACGUGCCAGCAGUCGCGGUAAUACGUAAGAGACUAGUGUUAUUCAUCUUUAAUUGGUUUAAAGGGUACCUAGACGGCAAAUUAAGCCCAUUAGGGUACUAAUAAGCUAGAGUUUUAUAUAAGUGGGCACAAAAGUACUGAGAAUGUAGAGAGAUGAAAUUCUAUGAUACUAUACAUGGCACUGGCAAAGGCGAAAGCAUCCCAUUAUGUAAUAACUGACGUUGAGGGACGAAGGCUUUGUGAAAUAAAAAGGACUAGCUACCCAAGUAGUCUUAGCAGAAAACUAUGAAUGUCAUAGGGUAAACAAGAUUUACUCUAUAAACGAAAGUGUAAGCAUUCCACCUUAAGAGUAAUUUGGCAACAUUGGAACUGAAAUCAUUAGACCGUUUCUGAUAUAAGUAGUGAAGUAUGUUGUUUAAUUUGAUGAUCCGCAAAAAACCUUACCACAACUUGAAUAUAAAUUUUUUUUAUACAAGCGCUGCACGGUUGUCUUCAGUUAAUGUCGUGAGAUUUUGGUUAGUUCCAUUAAAUUAACGCAAACCCUUAUUCUAUUUUUUUAUAGAGUAGUUCACUGUUACAUUGGAUAUGAUAAUAGGGAAUAAG
rnacentral:rRNA from 1 species